rnacentral:rRNA from 1 species
UACGAAGGGGGCUAGCGUUGUUCGGAAUUACUGGGCGUAAAGCGCACGUAGGCGGACAUUUAAGUCAGGGGUGAAAUCCCGGGGCUCAACCUCGGAACUGCCUUUGAUACUGGGUGUCUUGAGUAUGGAAGAGGUAAGUGGAAUUGCGAGUGUAGAGGUGAAAUUCGUAGAUAUUCGCAGGAACACCAGUGGCGAAGGCGGCUUACUGGUCCAUUACUGACGCUGAGGUGCGAAAGCGUGGGGAGCAAACAGGG